rnacentral:lncRNA from 1 species
CUGGUUCAUAAGGUUUAAGGAAUGGAGCUGUCUCCAUCACAUAAAAAUGCAAGAUGCAGCAGCAGGUGCUCACGGAGAAGCUGCAGCAGGUUCUCCAGGAGAUCCGGCAAAGAUCACUGAUGAAGGUGGCUACACUAAACAGCAGAUCUUCACUGUAGACAAAACAGCUUCUACUGGAAGAAGAGCCUGGUUUGGAAGUGUCAAAGGACAGGCUGACUCUCUUAUUAGGGGCUAAUGCAGCUGGUGACUUUAAGUUGAGGCCAACGCCCAUUUUCCAUUCUGAAAAUCCUAGGGACUAAGGGUGUCACUGUCGCCCCGACUGCCACAGCAACCGCACCACUUACCGAGGAGCCACGCUCACACUCCCCCAGCCCCCAGGGCCACAGACUGACAGAGUAACGUCCGAGGAUACAAACAAAUGGAAGAGCAUUCCAUGCUCAUGGGUAGGAAGAAUCAAUAUCAUGAAAAUGGCCAUACUGCCCAAGGUAAUUUAUAGUGUUAGCCAGGAUAUUCUUGAUCUCCUGACCUCGUGAUCUGCCUGCCUCAGCGAUGAGAGCUUCAGUAUACGAAAUUGGAGGGAAUGCAGCUCCAUUCAUGGCAGUCUAACAAUUCUCUGUAACAUAAAUGUGCACUCUUUCAACAAACAAUAUGCAAAGUUGAUGUAAUUUGUUUCUAUUUUCCUGUUUUAUUUUUGUUCUGAUCAUGCCAUUUGAAACAUACUUUAUGUCUAUUGAGUGUAAUGAUACAAUUUUGAUCUUAUAUUUUUUGUCUAUUUUUUCAUUUCUCUAGUAACUCAUUUUUGUCAUAUUUUAAAAACUACCAAUGCA